CAGAGAAGGAUACCGAACGUUAAGUGUUCCGCGGAAGGGAAGUUGCCGUGGAAACGAAAAGGCGAGAGCCUUGCGGUUCGGUAUUCGCAUCCCGCUG
rnacentral:ncRNA from 1 species